rnacentral:tRNA from 1 species
GGCUGGAUCACCUCCUUUCUAAGGAGUAAUCAUAUGCCUGCUUCGCACGCAGGACUUCUAAUUUUAGGGAUCGUGGGCCCAGAGGGAUUGAGAUAAUCUUGGGCCUAUAGCUCAGUUGGUUUAGAGCAUUCCCCUGAUAAGGGAAAGGUCAGUGGUUCGAGUCCACUUAGGCCCACUAUCUUGUAGCAAAAGAUUAGAAAGAGGGGAUGUAGCUCAAUUGGGAGAGCGCUGCCCUUGCAAGGCAGAGGUUAGCGGUUCGACCCCGCUCAUCUCCACCACUUUAAAUUGUUGUAAAAAAUUUAAGGUGUAAAAUUUUGUUGUUUUGUUCUUUGAAAAGUGAAUACUUAACGGGUAGCAAUUAGAUCCUCAAUUGUGUGUGAUUAGAAGAUUACAUAAAUU